UUGCUCUGGAGGACAGUGGCGCACGGGUGAGUAACGCGUAGGCAACCUACCCCUAGAAUUGGAAUAACCUCGGGAAACCGAAGCUAAUACCGAAUGACAUCUUAGAAUCGCAUGAUUCAUAGAUCAAAACUCCGGUGUCUAGGGAUGGGCCUGCGUAGGAUUAGGUAGUUGGUGAGGUAACAGCUCACCAAGCCGACGAUCCUUAGCUGGUCUGAGAGGGCGACCGGCCACACUGGGACUGAGACACGGCCCAGACUCC
rnacentral:rRNA from 1 species